AGAGGCAACCAACACGGGUUCAUCAGUGGCAGCAGGGCAGGCCCGAUGAGGAGAGGCUACGGGACCUGAACCUGUUCAGCCUCCACAA